rnacentral:rRNA from 1 species
AUUGAACGCUGGCGGCAUGCCUUACACGUGCAAGUCGAACGGUAACAGGUCUUCGGAUGCUGACGAGUGGCGAACGGGUGAGUAAUACAUCGGAACGUGCCUAGUAGUGGGGGAUAACUACUCGAAAGAGUGGCUAAUACCGCAUGAGAUCUACGGAUGAAAGCAGGGGAUCGCAAGACCUUGUGCUACUAGAGCGGCCGAUGGCAGAUUAGGUAGUUGGUGGGAUAAAAGCUUACCAAGCCGACGAUCUGUAGCUGGUCUGAGAGGACGAUCAGCCACACUGGGACUGAGACACGGCCCAGACUCCUACGGGAGGCAGCAGUGGGGAAUUUUGGACAAUGGGCGCAAGCCUGAUCCAGCAAUGCCGCGUGCAGGAUGAAGGCCUUCGGGUUGUAAACUGCUUUUGUACGGAACGAAAAGCCCUGGGUUAAUACCCUGGGGUCAUGACGGUACCGUAAGAAUAAGCACCGGCUAACUACGUGCCAGCCGCCGCCGUAC